rnacentral:lncRNA from 1 species
AAUACAGUAGUUCAGGGAAAGCUUGUUCGCGACCUAGAAUUCUGAGUGGGUCAAGCGUUUAAUUAAAACUCAUGCGAGAAUAUACGAGAUUUGGUUGAACUGGGGGCAAAGUCAUAUAUGGUACACAUCAAUAUUCGGUGUUUAAUAGGCGUUUAUUAGGACGCCUGCCGCUUUCCCGUUUACCUGUGAAGUCGUUGAGUGUCAUCUGUUUUUUGUUUGUUUAUGUUUAUGUGUAAUAAAGUAAAAUAAGUAAUAUUUUGAAAAAUUUCGGGACAUAGUGUUUAAAAAUUACGGGAGAAAAUUGGAAAAGAAAAUUGAAAUUACUGCUUGCAAAAAGCCAAAACGAAAUGUUUGAUAAAGAAGGAACGAGGUCCUUCAAGUCCCUGGAAGCUGUUAAGAACUUUGAAGAAGUUUAUGUGCAGAAAUAUAAUUUUUUGUUGAUUGAGAAUAAUUUCCAGAAACAUGCUGGCGUAAUGGCAUUAAUUGCCAAAACAGUAUAGCAUACAAUGGUGACACUACAUAAUUUAUUCUCUUUAGCCUUUUUUCGGGAGAAUAUAGAUAAACAAUCUAAACCAUAUGAUUGUCAUGUAAGACGGAGC